rnacentral:lncRNA from 1 species
GGGUGCCUCCCGCGGGAACCCUCAGCCCCUCCCAGGGCCACCCACAGGCCCCACACUGCUGGCCCCUGGGGUGGGCUUCACAAGGACCGACUCCUGUCUGCCCAUGCCCCGUCAGUGGGACGACCGUGUCCCUGUGGCUGCGCAUUCUGGACCCAGCGUCCCUUACCGGGCCUGGAUCCCAGGCAGUUGAUGGGUUCAAAGCCCACAUAAGCCAAAGAUGGAGGAUGCCCUCUCUGUGCUGGUGACGGUGGGCCUGGCCCAGAGCUCCCGAGCACGGGCAGGGAACCCCGUGGUCUCAGCCCCGGCUGCCCAGUGCAGAGCCCAGCUCCAGCAGGGGCCAGGGCCUCGACUCCCACCAGGACCUGCGGGUGGGCAGAAUCCCAGGCUCAGCGCCCGUCGCCUGUGUACUGGCUCAGGAGUGUGUCCCCCGCUGACCCCAGGGUUGCUGCCACCUCAAGACUGGGCCCCUGGUGGGAAGUACAGCCCCUUAGCAAAAGGAGAUGGCUACGUGCUGGAGUUGAAAUCCCCCACCCCAGCGUGCGGUUCCCAGAGCCUGGGUUGCACUAGCUCUGUGGGGUGGAGACCCAGCAAAAGGGAAAUGGGGCCCUCGGGGGCCUCCUGGACUCGGGGCUUCUGGAAUGGGCCUACCCAGCCUCUGGCUCCCCUCACCCCUGCAGAGAGCAGCUCCCCCACCCCGGGAUGGGCCGACCAGCCUUCCCAGGUGCCCGUGCGCCCACCACCUGCCUCAACCCCACCCCUGGCCAGGAGAGUGCAGCCCUGAGGGGCCUGGGUCUUCUGUCCCACUGUGGUGAGGUGGAGGGCAGGGGUCCUGAGGGACACCUGGGGACUCAAGCAGGUUGCCCAGGCCGGUGGUGAGAGCUGCCAGGCACCUGGCCUGCAGGACUAGGGCAGCCUUGGU